CUGUGGUUUGCGACCAGGGAAUCACGGAUUUCAGUGAAAGGGUCUGAGACCACAGCCAUAAGCUGUGAAAGCCAAGAGGACAGCUAAGGACUAAGGAAUUGACACUAAGCCCGAAUCUGGCAGAAGAGUCAAGCCCCAAAUCGUGACAUGCACACAGAAAAAAUAUGUGGGCCACUGGCUUAGGAAGACUGCGUUUUCAGGGGAAAUGACCCAUGGGUGAGCGCUGUGGCACAGACUUAAAAGACUAUGACACUUUCUUUUGGCCUCCAUCAUUUCUGAUAAGAAAUUCACUGUCUUUCAAAUUAUUUGCUCUCACAGAACAAGAACUCGGACCUGGCUGAGCUAGAGACUAAGCAGACUGCAAUAUUUGGGACCUCAUCUGGGAUUGUCAGAAGGACUGCUUUGCUUCAGGGAAAAUUUGUUUGGAAAGUUGCAUGUGGUACAUGUGUUUGGAAUCAUUAAUUUGUGGCUCAAGAUACAUUCUGCAUACUUCUCCACCUUGCCUUCUGACUAAGAAGCUGAGCUGUAUGAACUAUAUCAACAAGGUUCCCAUGGCCUUUGUCUUCUGUCUAGGUUAAAAUAAUGUUGAUCCCCAUCAGAAACUGAAAGUAGAGAUACCAGAUUGUGGUCAGAGCGCUGAUUACCUCUACUCUCUCCCAAUGUGUUUGUCGUGGGUUGGCUGUUAUCUUCCAUUCAAUAUGGAUGACCCUAUGUAAUCUUCUUUUUCUCUAGUUCUAAAAACAACCCCUCUCCUUUCCUUUGGUCUCCAUUAGUUGCAUGUUGAAUUACCUCAACACUUACUAAUGUAAAAUAACCAUUUACUAGGUUCACAGAUCCUGUGAGCCAUUGAUCCAGACAUGGCAGAGUAGGUUUAGGUUGUCUCUGGUUCAUGAUGUCUAAGGCCUCUGAUGAAAUAUUUUAAAACUCAGGAAUAGUAGAUCACCAGGGUCUGGAAUUAUCUGAAAGCUUUUUUACUCUGAUGUUUGAUGCUGGCUCCCAGCUGGAACUUUAACUUUACACAAGAACACCUUCAUUAAGCCCUCCAAAUAGCCUGAGCUUUCUCACACCAUGGUUCUUGGAUUCAAAUGUGAGUGCCCUGACUGAAAGACAGAGAGAGAGAGACAGAUAGACAGACAGACACACACAGAGAGCGACAGAGAAAAAUAGAGAUAGAGAUUAGACAGAAGCCCCAGUGCCUUUUAUAAUCUAGCCUCAGAAAUCCUGAAGCAUCACCUACUCCAUUUUAUUUUUUGAAGCCAAGUCCUGGCCAGUUUUAAGAGAGAAAAUGGAUUCUUUUAACUGGGGAGUGAAGAGAUAUUAGAAGUGUGUAUUAGCCUCUUCUCACAGUGUUACAAAGAACUACCUGAGACUGGGUAAUUUAUGAAGAAAUGAGGUUUAAUUGACUCACAGUUCCAGUUCUGCAGGCUGUAGAGGAAGCAUGGCUGAGAGGCCUCAGAAGACUUGCAAUCAUGGCAGAAGGUGGAAAAGGAAGCAAGCACAUCUUCGUAUGGUAGCAGGAGAGACAGAGUGAAGGAGGAGGUGUUAUAUACUUUCUUCUUAACAAGCAGAUCUUAUGAGAAUUCCAUCACAAGACAGCACUAGGAGGAUGGUGUUAAACCAAUGGAAAUCGCCCCCAUGAUCCAACACCCCCAACCAGGCCCCUCCUCCAACACAUGGGGAUUGUAAUUCGAGGUUCUCCCAACAAGAGGACCUGCAAUAGUCUGCACUAUUUUCUCACUUCUUAAAUCUGUUCUGGCUGUGUGACUUACUUUCACCAAAUGAGCACGG
rnacentral:lncRNA from 10 species